rnacentral:lncRNA from 10 species
CCCUUCUCUCUCAGAAGAUAAGAAUUGUAUUCUGCCACAUUUUGAGAAUGGGAGGCUGAACAAGACUCAUUCACCAUUUUUGGUGUAUAUAUUCCCUUCAUCUGAACAUUGGCUGAAGUUGGUAACUGCCUCAUCUAAUACAAGGCAGCAGAAGCAAUGCUAUGGGACAUCCAAGACUGGAUUAUAAAAGACAGUACAUGUUUUUUCUCUCUCUCUCUUUCUCUUUUUCUCUCAUCCUUACUUCUAUGGCUUCAAACUUUUUUAUCGUGUUACUGACAUAUUCUAUUUUCUUAAAAAUUUUUGUUCUACAUUUCAAAGACGUAUUAAAAAUAUCUCAUUUUGGGGGGAGGGGAGAGGGAUAGCAUUUGGAGAUAUACCUAAUGUUAAAUGACGAGUUACUGGGUGCAGCACGCCAACACGGCACAUGUAUACAUAUGUGACUAACCUGCACGUUGUGCACAUCUACCCUAAAAUUUAAAGUAUAAUAAAAAAAUCUCAUUUUUAAGUUGGUCAAUGUAUAUGUUUUUACAGAAG